rnacentral:rRNA from 1 species
GCAGCCAUCCUUGAAAGAGUUCGUAACAGAUCACUGGUCUAGCUUGCGGGCCGGGAAAAGGGACGGGGCUCAAACUGAUUACCGAUACUUCAGACCAUCGAGAGAUGAUGUGGUAACGCGGCGUCGUGCAUGGACGGAAGGUAGGCUUUGAGGUCUACUGGACCGUGUACGAAUGAGAGUCUUGGGAAGAGUAGCAGCACAGUGUGGUGAGAAUCCGCACCGCCUUAUAAACCAGGGUUCCUCGGCACUGUUUAUCAGCCGAGGGUUAGCCGGUCCUAAGGUCAUUCUUAACCGAAAUGAUCGAAAGGGAAAUGCGUUAAUAUUCGUAUGCCUCCCAUACAUAAAAUGGUGACGGCUUGGGCAAAACUUGUGGAUCAUAUGUCAGGUCCACUUGCAUUAAUUCUCUGGAGAACUGUCACAGUGAGAAGGAGAUAAAGUCCCAGGUCCCAUGAAAAGCCGUAUGGGAUGUCCGUACCGAGAACCGACACAGGUGUUUUUGGGUGAGUAGCCUAAGGCGUAUCGGAUACAAGUAUCGCGAGGGAACUCGGCAAAAUAGCUCCGUAACUUCGGGAGAAGGAGUGCCAGAUUGGGAACAAUCUGGUCGCAGUGACUAGGGAGCUCCGACUGUUUAAUAAAAACAUAGGGGACUGCCAGAUCGAAAGGUUGUGUAUAGUCCCUGAAUCCUGCUCAGUGCUGGUAUCUUAAAUCGGGUUUCAACCUGACGAAGGACCAGUAAACAGCGGGGGUAACUAUGACCCUCUUAAGGUAGCGUAAUACCUUGUCGCUUAAUUGGCGACUUGCAUGAAUGGUCCAACGAGGGCUCCACUGUCCCCGCGAUACGUCCGGCGAAAUUGACUUUACUGGCGCACAGUCCAGUACAUUCUACCCGCAAGCGAAGACCCCGUAGAGCUUUACUGCAGCCUGUCGUUGCAUAGUCGCUUUCCAUGUACUGUGUAGGUGGGAGACGUUGAUCCCCGGGACGUUAGUCUCGGGAGUAGUCGAAAAUAGAGACACCACCCUUGGAGAGUAACUAUGCUAACUGUUAAUCAGAACACCGAUUGGUGGGCAGUUUGGGUGGGGCGCCACGCGCUCGAAAACCUAACAAGCGUGCCCAAUGGUCAGCUUAAGUGGUUCAGCACUCCACUGUUAACUGUAAGGGGAAAAGCUGGCUUGACGUGGAUCGGCACAAUAACGAUCGACGAUGCGAAAGCAGGGCCUAACGAACCUACCAGGCUUAUAUUUGAGGCCGGUAGAUAACAGAAAAGUUACCUCGGGGAUAAUUGAGUUGUCACCAGCAAGAGCUCACAUCGACCUGGUGGCUUGCUACUUCGAUGUCGUCUCUUCCUAUCCUGGGUCUGCAGCAGGACCCAAGGGUGGGGUUGUUCGCCCAUUAAAAGGGAUCGUGAGAUGGGUUUAGACCGUCGUGAGACAGGUUUGUUGCUUGGUGGUAGAAUCGCGUAAGG